rnacentral:tRNA from 1 species
CAGAGUAUAGCUUAAACAAAGCAUUUUGCUUACACCAAAAAAAUAUCUACAAAUAGAUUAUUCUG